rnacentral:rRNA from 1 species
UACGUAGGGUGCGAGCGUUGUCCGGAAUUAUUGGGCGUAAAGAGCUUGUAGGCGGUUUGUCGCGUCUGCUGUGAAAACCCGAGGCUCAACCUCGGGCCUGCAGUGGGUACGGGCAGACUAGAGUUCGGUAGGGGAGACUGGAAUUCCUGGUGUAGCGGUGAAAUGCGCAGAUAUCAGGAGGAACACCGGUGGCGAAGGCGGGUCUCUGGGCCGAUACUGACGCUGAGGAGCGAAAGCGUGGGGAGCAAACAGG